UACGUAGGGUGCGAGCGUUAAUCGGAAUUACUGGGCGUAAAGCGUGCGCAGGCGGUGAUGUAAGACCGAUGUGAAAUCCCCGGGCUUAACCUGGGAACUGCAUUGGUGACUGCAAGGCUGGAGUACGGCAGAGGGAGGUGGAAUUCCACGUGUAGCAGUGAAAUGCGUAGAGAUGUGGAGGAACACCGAUGGCGAAGGCAGCCUCCUGGGCUAGUACUGACGCUCAUGCACGAAAGCGUGGGGAGCAAACAGG
rnacentral:rRNA from 1 species